AGCUUCAAGAUCUAGGUUCAACAAUGUUAGAGCUCUGGUAUUUGAUGGAUACACCUGUUGAAGAAAAAUGCAUAUAGCCUUACUCUUCCUUCAAAUCAGAAUGAGAACGUUUGAUUAUGUUACCGCAAUGUGUCCUGGAGGAACUAGCUACAAUUUGUCAAAGGGUCCUUCUAAAAGGGAUCUACUAUCAUUACCCGUGGAAGAGCGGCUUAAGAAAAUGCUUGAG